AGAGCCCAGCACUUCUGGCCACCUCCACCCAUGUGGCCUGGAUCACCUCUGUGGCCCAGUCUGUCCUUCUUUUCAGAUCUGUUGGUCAACCACGGCUACCUAGGCCCUCACAACCAUGCCCCAGGCCACCACCUUCUGGCACUGCAGGAGUCCAAAACUGUGCGGAUAGCAAUACUGGAAACCCUGGGGAAAUGUACUUAUUUCAACUGGAAACUAUUCAAAAGAAGAGUUGACAGUUUGUGGUUACCAUUUUGGAUCACUGGUUGAGAACAGAUUCAGUUUUGUGACACAUUAUGCUGUUUAAACUGAUGAGGCUCUAAAACUUGAUGUUUACAGAUAAACAAACCUUAAAGAUCCAGUGAAUUUGAUGAGCAGGACCACAAAUAUGUCAAAUAAAGUGUAUUCUAUUCUUGAGUAGUCUCA
rnacentral:lncRNA from 1 species